UCCUGGCUCAGGAUGAACGCUAGCUACAGGCUUAACACAUGCAAGUCGAGGGGCAGCAGAUCGAUAGCUUGCUAUUGAUGCUGGCGACCGGCGCACGGGUGAGUAACGCGUAUCCAACCUUCCCUAUAGUAGAGGAUAGCCCGGCGAAAGUCGGAUUAAUACUCUAUGUUUUCCAAUGCAGACAUCUAAGUUGGAACAAAGGUUCACCGCUAUAGGAUGGGGAUGCGUCUGAUUAGGUAGUCGGCGGGUAACGGCCCACCGAGCCAACGAUCAGUAGGGGUUCUGAGAGGAAGGUCCCCCACAUUGGAACUGAGACACGGUCCAAACUCCUACGGGAGGCAGCAGUGAGGAAUAUUGGUCAAUGGGCGAGAGCCUGAACCAGCCAAAGUAGCGUGCAGGAUGACGGCCCUAUGGGUUGUAAACUGCUUUUAUACGGGGAUAAAGUGAGGGACGUGUCCCUUUUUGUAGGUACCGUAUGAAUAAGGACCGGCUAAUUCCGUGCCAGCAGCCGC
rnacentral:rRNA from 1 species